rnacentral:rRNA from 1 species
GACGAACGCUGGCGGCGUGCUUAACACAUGCAAGUCGAACGGAAAGGCCCUGCUUGCAGGGUACUCGAGUGGCGAACGGGCGGGUAACUCGCGGGUGAUCUGCCCUGCACUUCGAGAUAAGCUAGGGAAACUGGGUCGAAUACCGGAUAGGAGCCAUCUUUAGCGGGGUGGUUGGAAAGUUUUUUGGGUGUUGGAUGAGUUGGCGGCCUAUCGGCUUGUUGGGGGGGUAAUGGCGUACCAAGGCGGCGGCGGGUAGCCGGCCUGUGAGGGUGUACGGCCACCUUGAGACCGAGGUGCGGCACCGGCAGCGAAGGGAGGGAGAUGUGGGGAAUAUUGAACAAUGGGCGCAGGCCUGAUGCAGCGACGCCGCGGAGGGGAUGAAGGUCUUCUGGUUGUAGACUACUUGCGCUAGGAACGAUGCUUUUUGUGACGGUACCUAGACAGGAAGCACCGGCUAACUACGUG